rnacentral:lncRNA from 1 species
AGCUUCCUAAGUCGAUCCCAGGGAGAGCUUUUGGUCUGAGACGGAGCCGUUCUCCAUGCGGGGGGCUCUUGUUUCCAAAGGGUGCUCUGUUUCUGAGGGUUUGGUUGGGGAAAGCAGAGGGGUUGGGGUAAAGGUGGGAUUUUGAGAGGUGGGUUUUGGAUCGGGGAGGGAGGUGGUUGAGAGGGGAGAGGAAGUGAGGGUUUCGAUGAGAGAUUGAGGGAGAUGAGAUGUUUAAUAGCAUGGUUUCGUUAGAAGUGGUGGAUUUUUGGGGGCGAAGUGGUGUUUGAUUGGAGCCAUUGUGUAAGAUAAAUGAGGAAAACAGAGUCGUGGUGUGGUUUGGCUUUUCUGUGGGUGUGUGGAUGUGAUUCAAUUCUACAAAGAGAACAAAUCUCUGUCUCACUAGUUUUUUGAAAUGGUUAUUGUGUAAUGGGCCUUGUUACAAACUGAAUAUUGAUACUUUUGGGCUUUAGGGGCCUAACAUAUUUGGGGAUAUUUGAUUAUGGAACGCAAUUUUAUGUUGCAAUUUGGAUGAACUAUGAAAUUGAUAACUUUUUAACUUAAAAACGAAAACUGAAAAUUGCUUUAACAAUUUGUAUUGCAUCAAAAGGAACAGAGAGAACUUAUUAGGUGUUGUGAAUAGACCUCUUGCUUGGCUUUCUUUCAAGAAGAUAUCAAGUAAGAUUUUGGCUUUCAUGAGUGCAAUGGAUCAAUGGAAGUUGGAAUUGGUUAACAGGAAGGUUAAUACUCAAGUUUCUUUUGUUGCAAAAAGUGUGAUAUCUCAGAAUUUUUCUUAAUUGUAGGUUGUUCUAAGCUUUUGUUUUUGUUAGCUUUCUUCUUCCUUUUUUUAUAAAAGAGCAUUCCUUUUGGUUGCUGAUUUUUGUUGUGGGAUUGAGAUAGCUUAUUUGCUUUCACUAACAUAUUGGUUAACUGGUUUCAUGAUAAAUGAAUAAUCUAAUCCUUCAUAUGUUGAGAUUACUCUAAAGCUUGCUAAACAGAACUUCUAAUGGUGGAAAAACUUUUAUCCUUAAUUAUUCUACAAACUUCCAAUGAGGUGAAAGUGAAACUGUGUUUCUUCCCAUUUACUCUCGUUACUGUGUAAACUAAAUUUUGCCUUAUUUAUUAUUUUUCUCCGUCUUUUUCACUUAAUUUUUAUUCUCAUUUCUACCUUUUAUUUUUUUUUCAUUUUACUCCACAAACUACCAAUCACAAUCUAAGCUUCAGUUCAAUUUUUUAAAAAGAAAAAGAAUUAUGCGUGGAUUCAAGACACACUAUGUAAAAUAAAAUGGAGGAUUAUGAGCAUACUAUAUAAAAAAAAAAUUGUAUUCUACAAUAUAAUCUAAAAUAAACCAAAAUUAUACUUAUCUGAUCAAAAUUAGUUCUUUUAAUUAAUAUAUAUAUAUUUGGAAUAAUCAGAAUAUAAAAUUACAAAAUCAAUUCAAAAAUCUUAUUAAAAAUUAGUUAUGUGUUUACCCAGACAUUUGCGAGAAUAAUUCAAUAAGUUAAUACCAAGACAUAUAAGCUAGCCGAAUCAAUUAAAAAACAAAAGGAGAAUGCUCACCACCGUCUUCGAAGUUAAGCAUUCGUGUGGGAAGUAACCAUACUAUUUAUGGUUAUUUAUGACUUUAUACAAAAAAGAGUCAUAACCACAAAACAGAAGAUUCGUUAUUCACCUUCUAAGAUAAAAAGAUAACUCUCCAGACAUGAACUUACCUUGCAAGCAAAGUAUUCUUAUCUUCAUCUAUUAUUUCUCAUUAAUUAACCUUAUCUUCACCAAGAUUGUUGUUGUAAUAAUGUUUUAGUCUUUAGAAGAUCAGAAGAUUCUUGAAUGAAACUUAAUACAAAUUUACAUAACUCACAACAAUUAUUUGAAGUGUGUUUGGAAGCUUUCUUCUUUCCUUCACGUCUUACUUUCCCAUACAAAGUAUAAAAUAGUUGAAUUUGGAUCCACGCAUUGUUUUCUAGAACUGACAUCAUAUCAUCCAAGCCACAACUUUCAUUAAUGUCUUACAUAGGUUCCGAAUGGUAACGUUUUUGUCCGCAGCACAGUUAAUAAUAAUAAAACUCUCUAAAUAUAUACGUUUUCGUUAUUAUUAGAACCGCAGUUAUUCCGGACGUUACCAUUCGAAGCUAUAGUUGACAAAGAAGACAUUUGAGACAUUCUUAAAAGCUUACAAUUAAAAGUAUAUUAUUCUCACGUCUAAAACUGAGUAGUCAACUAGAAACAGUCAUAAAACGUGGGAUAACAAGAUUUCAAUGUAACAACUAACAAUAGUUCAACAUUUUCUCCAAUGCAGGCCAACCAACCUUGAAACUCCAUAUGAAUCAACAUUUUUUUGCAAACUUAGAUGAAUUGGAUUUGGUUUCUGAAAAAUGGUGAUUCAAUUAUAUACAUGUGAUCAGUCGAAUAUUCGGAGACUAACAAGCUACUACAUUGAUCUAAAUUGGAGAUCUUCACUAAUAUCAACCCCCUAUACUUUCUACAGUUCACACAAAUGACAACCCAAAUCCAUUUACAGUCCCCCCACCUCCAAUAUAUUUUCCUCAUGCGACCCACCAAUCAUUGUUCCUUCACAACUCACCCUCACCGUGAUCCAGCCCCCACCUUCCAUAUCCAAUCUGGACCCAUCCAACCCACCAACACAUCUCAACCGUCCGAUCCUCUCCGAAUGACAAGCCCACAUGUUUGAACGGUCAAGAUUUCUCGGAUCCUCCUGUAAUUCCUCUGUUUCUUCUUCCUCAUCCACCGAUGACCAAAACGUUUGAUCUAUCACACUUGUCGGUGAGCUCGAAACAAAACCGGAAACCGGUUCAGUGUUUGGUUUAGUUAUCAAAAAAGGAUGGUUUAGAAGUUGUGUUGCCGUCCAUCUCUCUUUCGCUUCUCUCUUGAAACACUUCUCCAAGAAGUCCUUCGCUUCUUCGGUAAGCAAACAAGGAAGCUCCGGAGCCUCACCGGAAUACCCGACCCGAUAAAGAACUGAAACCGGACUCUCACCCGAACUCGCCUCCGUCCACGGCGGAGACCCAGUGGCCAUCUCAAUCACCGUACAUCCAACCGCCCAUAUAUCACUCUCCCUCCCCUGCUUCUCCCCACGCGCCACCUCCGGAGCCAUAAACGCCGGCGUUCCCAUCACCGCUUCCGAGUCAACUUCCGGGUCGACCCGUUUCGCACACCCGAAAUCCGCAAUCUUGGCCUCACCCUUCUCCCCAACAACCACGUUGCUCCCCUUCACAUCGCAAUGCGCGACUCCCCGCGAGUGAAUAUACUCCAACCCUCGCAGUAUAUCUCGCGUGUACUUCACGAUCGUAGCUUCCUCGAGCCCGCCUCCGUUCUUCGCCGCCGCGUCGGUCAACGUUCCGUACGGUGCGUACUCCAUCAAAAGGUUAUACGUGACGACGCCGUUUGACUCUCUCUUGGUCUCUGAUCCUCUGUAUCCGAUCACAUAGGGAGAACUCAACGACGAGAGGAUCUUGGCCUCUCUUUUCAGGAACUCUGAUCGGUGAAGCUCGGAGGAUUUGACGGCGAGGAUUUCGUUUGAGUUGUGACGUGUUGCGGCGUAGACGGUGGCUGUUGAGCCACGGCCUAGGAUUCUUCCUCUAGUCCAUUCCAUUUGGACAAGACUAGAGAAAAGUUAAGAGUUAUAAAAAAAAGUUUGUAUUUGUUUUGUAUAGUUUUGCUUUUCUACACUCUGCUGCUAUUCAACACUAGGCUUAUAUAUAAUGGGUGGAUUAGAUAGUGUAUACUUUUGGUAACAUCGAGUUUAUCUACCAACACUUAUUAUUAUGAAUAUAAUAACGUAAAUAUGUUCUUGUGUGUACACGUGAAUUUCUUUUAAAAGUUGAUAACCAAAUGAAAACCUGUUCUGAUUUGAUUUGAUUUGAUUUGAUUUUUAAAGUAACCAAAAUAAGAAGAAAAUGUGUUGAAAUUUGAAUGUGUGAAGUUUCAAGAGCACCAAAAGAAGAGAGGUUUGAGAAACGUGAGUAAAAUAUCAAUUGUCAUGUGACGUGGCAGUGGAACGUAUCUAACGCAAGUUCGUUGGGUAUGGUGACGUGGUAUUUUUUAGAUUACAGUCUCUAGAAACUAUGACGUGUCAAUCUCUGUGUGGUUAAAGAAGCUUUUAGUUUCUGCUCCCACCGUAGUUCCGUAUCUCUCUCCAGCUACGUGUCCGCAAUGUUUAGAAGCUACGUGGUGUUUACUAUUGGCCUAACGUUUAUUUGUUUUCUCUCUUUCGUUAUUUGCGUAAAGAAAGAAUUAGUAUUAUAUUUAUUUAUUUUUUUAACUAAGAAUUAGUAUUAUUUUGAUAUGUGGUUUCUUAUGAGUUUGGGAAGAAAAAAAAACUAGUGGAGAGGAGAAGCUAGGCACUUUGGUAGAUUUUGAUCGAUCAUCUGCACACUUGGAGCUUUGUCGUUACACUUCGUGAUCGUCUUAUAUUUUCAGCAUAUCUAUUUAAUUUCUAUAAAAAAAUAUUUUGUUACAUUAUUGUACAAAUUGUGAGUCUUCUCUUGGUCUAUUACCUUGGUUUCUUAUUUGAUUCUGCUUGUUAAUUUUUUGUUCAUGCCAGAAUAUAAACAAGAUUUCAAUGUGUUAAUUGUUUAAAUAUGUCUUCUUACAAACAGAUGCAACCCAUAUUAUCAUUUCAGGCUCUGUUCUUUCGGAAAUAAUUAUUUGCUAGGUGUGUACUAUAAAUAUUUAUUUUUCUAAACAAAAUCACUGCAAAGAUUUGGGAUAUCACCGGAGACCAAGACUAUAGUGUUAAUCUAUAUAUUUGUUUUCUAUCUUAUAGUCAACUUUUUAUCAUAUAGAUUAUAGACGUUCGUUAAACAAAUAUUCUGACAAUAAUACCAGAUAACAAUAAAAAUAGAUGAAGAAGCUUCCUUAGUAAAAUCGGUAACCCCUUUGAAAGAAAAUAAACGAAAGUGAGCGGUGGGUUUAACUACCAUUAUCGGUUGAGUUUAAGAAAUAAAUAAUCAAUUUUAAUUAUGAUUAGGUCUGUUUUAUGGUUCUAACUUACAACUUACAUUCAAAUUAAAGUCAAGUUCACAUAUAGAACCACGACUAAAUAGGCUAAUAAUGAAUUUCUUUCCUUACUUUUCUUUCGUUAUUUGCACUCCAAAUAGCUAUUUCAUUAUCAGUUUACGAAUAAUUUGCAUUUUAUAAAAAAAAACUCUAGUAGCUUGAAUUAAAGUUUAAUACGUCGUAUCAUACACAUUCUCUCUGAAAUUUGGAACGUCAUAAAGCUAGCAGAGUUUUUUUUUUUUUUUUUUUUAUUUUAUCUGUAAAUGACACUUUGCAAUAUAGUUUGGGUUAAGUUACAAAAAAAACUUAGAUUCUCCCCCUUAACAAGAACGCCAACUAAAUACCGGUAAGCUAAUAACUUUUAAUAAUCCACAUUCCAAUAUUCAUAUACCAAGUUAAGUAGAGUCAUGUGAACAAGUUAAAUCAAGAGUUUCAGUAAGAUUAGGUUGGAUGCUCUUGCUAGGUCGAAAAUUAUACUGAAUUUAUGCAAGAACCUAGGCUUUCAUUUGUUUUGUCAAAAUAAAACCAUGUCAUAGACCACAUUUAAAAGAUAUGGAAUUAGAUUACUUGUCGUUUUUAACUUCUGAUAAAUGAUUUGGGUUUAGGUCCAGUAACCACAAUUUCCACAAAAACAAAAAAAAAUCAAAAAAAAUAUCUAAACGGUUUCAAGAGUGAAGAACAAGUUAAAGCAAGAGUUUCAGUAAGAUUAGGUUGGAUACUCUUGCUAGGUCGAAAAUUAUACUGAAUAUAUGCAAGAACCUAAGCUUUCAUUUGUUUUGUCAAAAUAAAACCAUGCCAUAUACCACAUUUAAAAAUGGAAUUGGAUUAUUCGUCGUUUUUAACUUCUGAUAAAUGAUUUGGGUCUAGAUCCAGUAACCACAAUUCCCACAAAAACAAAAACAAAACAAAAAAAAAAAUCUAUCUAAUCAACUUUGAGAUGGAAACCUAGGGCGCAUAGAAUUCGGAAUCCGAGAUUCGAACCAAAAAAUUUGUUAUGUUAUCUGAUCUGAAAUGUAUAAAUACUAGAAUGAAUUUUAUAAGGUGAUAUUUUAGCUGAACUCGAACGGAUCGGAUAACCCAAAAAAAUCUGAAAUUAUUCAGUCAAUAUAAAUUUUUGAAACAUAUAUAAUAUAUCAAAUACUCAAUUCAAUGUUUAUUUUGAUAUGAUAUAUAAAAACAAGUUUUAAAAUUUAAAUAAAUACUUUAAACACCCAACUGCUUAUAAAUAAAUAUUUCAUAAUUUACUGACUGAAGUAACAAGUUUAUUAUAUCUAUAAGAUAAUGCAUAUUAUUUACAAACGAUGUGUUUUCACGAUUGAUUUUAGUAUUUAUUGUUAUUUACAAAUUUGAUGUGCAUUAGAUUAAUUUUUAUUUAGUUUAAGAAUCUUUUUUCUUAUGUUUUACUUUAAAAAAAUUUUUUUUACUUCAGAUACAUCCGAACCAAGCCAAACAGAUAUAACUCAAAUCCGAACAAUAUAUUAUUACUUUAUAAACUUUAAGAUACAAUAUAAAUUUGAAAUCAAACCAGAAAUGUUAUUGUCUGAAUCCGACACGUACUAAUAAAAUAUUAUAAUGGGACAUAUGAGUGUAAACCCGAAAUAUCCAGUCCAAAACUCUAACACCCAUGCCUAUGCAAACCAAUGGCAACCUUGUGUUGAGAGAGCAUCGCCAUCUACGCAGAGUUAAUAGCCAUGAGUUCAAGACCGACCGUCGUUAUACACCCAAUCACAAAUCAAUUUCCAUAUUCAGUAUCACAGUACUCGAAACACUUUUCUUUUGGCAAAAGAGAUGUAACUACAACAUUUCUUGUAUGAAAUCAAGGCUAAGUGUGUCCUUGACAAUGAGAAACAAUCCAAGGAAUAUCACAAGCAUGAUCCCUGAAGACAUGAUCCCCUGCUCCACCUCUACAGGAAGCUUCCUCCCUCCUCUAACCGCCUCCAACAGUAUCAACGCCAACGUCCCGCCGUCGAGAGCAGGCAGCGGCAAGAGAUUAAUCACGGCCAGGUUGAUAUUCAGCAGCGCCGCGAACUGGUAAAGCCCGUCGGUGUUCGAUCUCGCCACCUCUGCUCCCACCGCAAUGAUCGCCACGGGUCCUGCCACUUUACUCGCUGUCUGAGAGAAGUUAAAGAACGUCUGCUUCAGACCGUCCAAGACAUUGGAAGACAGCCCCAUAAACUCCUUCCCCGCGAACCUAAACGCUUCGGGAACGUUCCUCGGCCUCACCUUAGUGAUUCUAACGUUUGGAGACAGCUGAACACCGAUCUUCCCCGUCCCAUCGAAGUUCUUAUCAGGCCUAACCCGAACAACCAAAUCUUGAUUCCCUCUCUCGAUUCUAAACAACACAUCACUCUCGGGACUUCUCUUAACAAUAUCAACAACCUUAGAGACAGCAUCAGGACCAGUCUUAGAGAACUCAGCACCAUCCACAGAGAGGAUAACGUCACCAGAAAGCAACCCAUCACGGGAAGCAGCAGAAAAGGUCUUAACUUCGGGGACAAGAACACCAGGGAACGCUUCUUGAACAGGCAAACCAACGGACAACACUUGCACAAAGAUUAUAACAUAAGCAAAGAUCACAUUAGCGAUGAUCCCAGCCGAGACAACAAUCGAUCGAUCCAAAACCGGUCUGUUCUUGAGCAAGUUCUCGUCGUCGGUUGCAAUCUCGCUGUCGGGGUCGUUGUCGGGGAAGCCAACGAACCCACCUAGAGGGAACGCCCUAAGGGAAUACUCAACGUUCUUGAAAUCGAACUUAGCGAGGAUCGGACCGAACCCGAUAGCGAACUUACUCACGUGGAUCCCUUGGAGGGUGGCGGCGAGGAAGUGGCCGGACUCGUGGACGACGAUGAUGGCGGUGAGGACGGCGGUGGCUUCUAGGACGGACUCGAAGCUUCCUAAGUCGAUCCCGGGGAGAGCUUGUGGUCUGAGACGGAGCCGGUCCCCAUGCGGGGGGGUCUUGUUUCCGAAGGGUGCUCUGUUUUUGAGGGUUUGGUUGGGGAAAGCAGAGUAAAGGUGGGAUUUUGAGAGGUGGGUUUUGGAUCGGGGAGGGAGGUGGUUGAGAGGGGAGAGGAAGUGAGGGUUUCGAUGAGAGAUUGGGGGAGAUGAGAUGUUUAAUAGCAUGGUUUCGUGAGAAGUGGUGGAGAGUUUUGGGGGUGAAGUGGUGUUUG